rnacentral:rRNA from 1 species
CGGGGAAUAUUGCACAACGGGCGCAAGCCUGAUGCAGCGACGCCGCGUGCGGGAUGGAGGCCUUCGGGUUGUAAACCGCUUUUGUUCAAGGGCAAGGCACGGUUUCGGCCGUGUUGAGUGGAUUGUUCGAAUAAGCACCGGCUAACUACGUGCCAGCAGCCGCGGUAAUACGUAGGUG